AAUGAACGCUGGCGGCAGGCCUAACACAUGCAAGUCGAGCGAGCGGCAGACGGGUGAGUAACGUCUGGGAAACUGCCUGAUGGAGGGGGAUAACUACUGGAAACGGUAGCUAAUACCGCAUAGCAUCAGAUGGGGUCAGAUGGGAUGUGCUAGUAGGUGGGGUAAUGGCUCACAUGGGAGACGAUCCCUAGCAGGUCUGAGAGGAUGACCCGCCACACUGGAACUGCGCCACGGUCCCGACUCCUACGGGCGGCAGCGGGGGGGAACAGUGCGCAAUGGGCGCAAGCCUGGUGCAGCAACGCCGCGUGUAUGAUGAAGGCCUUCGGGGUGUAAAGUACUUGCAGCAGGGCAGCGUUACCCGCAGAAGAAGCCCCGGCUAACUCCGUGCCAGCAGCCGCGGUAAUUC
rnacentral:rRNA from 1 species